UCAUGCUCGUAAAAUAGGUAAAUUAUAUUUUCUUAAAUAGUACACAUUUUUACGAUACAUUUAUAAUGAUUAAAAACCAACUAGUUCAUAUGACGACAACAAUAAUUAUUGUAUGAUGGUAGUCGUCUGAAGUCAUAAAAAGCUUAUCGGUAUGCUUAUUCAUUAGAGCGGUUCGAUUCCUGAAACUAUCUCUAGUCUGAUUAAAUGUGUUUUAAGAUAAGUCAAAGAUGAUGGUUGAACAGUUCUCCAUUACACUAACUGGAAGAAAUAAUUGUUUUAUCAUUUAUCUAAAUAGACUAGAAUGUGACCAGUGGAAGAUUAAAUGGACAUAUCAUAUAUUUCUCCAUGGACACUGUAAUUCAUAGACUGAUUUUUGACACUAUAUUUGAAUAUUUCUUAUUAACGUUAAUUGGAUUUUGUGCAAAACCCCUGGAAGAAUAUUCUGUAUCAGACUAACAGUAUAAACGCCACCCAGUAAUUCUGUUUACCUGCUGUUAGACAUCGUAGUAUCAUCUCCAAUCUCUUUAUAUUUUGUUCAAUUUUAUUCAAAAAAGUGUCAUUAUAAUUUAUUAUUAAUCAAGUGUAAUUCAUUUGUCUAUUUAUUGAAUAACUUAUUAUCCUGUCUUCAACGUCCAUAUAAACUGUACUGUAUUUAUGGCCACUACACUGAUAUCUCAUUUGGCUAAAUAUUUUUAAUUUUCAACUACAUUAAAACAAAAUUAAGAUUGUUUAAAUUUUUUUUUUUAAAUACUUUUAUUAUUGUUUGAAUAUUUUUACACUUUGAGUGUCAAUACAAGUAUCUUAUCAUAUUCUAGACUUAAAACUGUAUUAGUUUAAAGAUACUAACAGUAUAUUACUAUUACAAUUUUGACAAACAUAAUUAUUUGCCUACCAAACAAAUUGUAAAUUUAGUUUCUAUAUUUACUUAUUUAUUAAUAUUUACUUACCUUAAUAACAUUAAAGUAUUAAUUUAUUGUAAAAAUAUCUUGACCUAACUGAAAGAUUGAAAAUUUGUAAACUGUUGUGAAAUUAUGUCGAUGUUCUUAGGAAAAAAUGUGUAGUCAAAAUUUUGAAUACCUAGAUUAAAAAAAAAAACGGUACAAUUUUUUUUUUGCUAAAAGAAGUAAUUAUACAUUUGUAAAUUUUGAUGUUUAGUUUAUAAAAUAUACUUUUUUUAAUUAAAAAAUAUCUUUACUUAAGUAUCAUAAAAAAUUGUUUUAUUUUAAUCAAUGUCAAUUCUCUGAUUAAUAUAUUAUGUAUUAAAUAAUUGAAUAUUUCUAUAUAUUUUAUAGUAUUUAUCAGAUUAUUUGAUGUGUCUUAAACUAUUACAUUUAUUAUUUCUAUUAUUACUAUUUAUUAUUUAUUUAAAACGACUUAUCAAACUUUAUGAAUUGUACUUUAUAAAUUAUAAAAUUGGUCUGAAAUGUGUACUGUGUUACUAUAGGUAGCCUGAUAGACAGGAAGUCUAUAUUGUUUUUUAGAAAUAAAAGUUGUUUUUUCUUGGUUAGCUUAAUUAUAUAGUGUGAUUCACUAAUUUUCUCUCAUAAUAAUUUCAAUUAGGUAAAAUUAUUUUUCAAAACAUUUUUGUUUGUGUUAUUUUACAACUAAAAACAUG